AAUAGAAUCUACACACACAGACUGACAGCCUGGACUGCUCAGGGUAAGUGGAGGACACUCCACCAGUAGUCAGAUGUAAAUGUUGAUUUCAAAUAAUAACUUGCUUUUUUAUUUAGUAUGCUCUCUACAUCGCCACUGGAAGAGCAUUUGAUUUCAGUCAGGAAGACAUGCCAAAAAUUAGAAGAUGGUGGUGUCAUCUCUUACUUCACAAAGCCAGCAUUAAAGCCAAGACUUCGGUCUUCACUUUCCACACGAGAAGGACGACAUUCUG